CUUUUGAUGGAAAAGGCAGUGUGUUUCUUUUACAUUUCCCACAGUUGUGUGGACAAACUGCAGCGUUUGGAAGCAGCGUGGAAGGGCUGGGAGUGUUGGCAAGAAGCUGUGGAGGCUGCCUGGCCACGGUUAUGUAGAAGAAGCGAUACUACGGUAACCUAGGGGCUGCUUAGCAGGAGGAAGUACGCGAGAAAGGGAGACGCAUCUAGCGUCCUCCGUGUACGCCUCUGAUUUGGCAGGAGAGGCUUUGGCAGACAUGAUUGAUCUAGGUCAGCACAUGAACUGAAUUUGUAAAGUGGUAAAUCGGAGAAGGAGGAAGAAGAAGAGGAGGAGGAGGAAGAGGAAGAGGAGGAAGAGGAGACAGACACGGCAGCCAAAAGUGGUCAAAUCUUUGUGGCUUUCAUGGAGACGAUAAGGUUCAAUCAUCUCUUCAAAGACUUUCCAGCUGAAAUUGGAAUUGUAAAGAAGGCCUCACAGGGGGAAAUGGACUCAUUAUUUCACAGAAGCACAGAAUCAGAGUGGAAUGGUAUGCAAAUCUUUUAAGAGUCAUCUUUGUACAGAACAUACUGUGGGGGAAACUAUGGGUAUUACUCCCUCUGUAGGCAAAGCAAGCAGUCAGUGUGUUUGAGGCCUGGUUAGUUUGCCAGGAUCAUCAACAUUAUUAAUUCAUGAACAUGUAGAUAGUAAUUAUUCCACAGACGUGUUUUCUGCAUAAUGUAGUUACAGAGCCACUUAUACUAUACACACGGAAGCCCACAUCUGAGUUUCAUUUGCUUGUGUGAUGCAGGUCAGUGGGUGCAGUUGCUGUAGUUGGGAGAUGACCUCCAUUCAUUGAGCGAUGGGGGCCCUCCUCACCUGCAGUCAAACAAUGCCCACUCCUGCCAGGAGACUUUGGGCAGACAGGGAAACAGCCUGGGCUCUCACAGGCUUAACAGUUCUAGCAAAAAAAAAAAAAAAAAAAAAAAAAAAAAGAAUCUGUGUAAAAUAAUGGCAUCCUUGUCCUGAUGUUUGAUGUUGCUGUCUGAGAUUUACAAAUGACUAUUAUUCAUGUUUGUGUUAAGUGAGAGGGCAAAAAUCAAUAACAUUUAAUGCCUAAAAAUCUGAGGCCAUCUUAGGGCAUCUAAGAAUAAAUCAUUGAGGAGAAAGUGAGAGGCAGUGUCUGAGAGCUGUGGAACAUUUAAAAAUUGCAAAAAGAAUCUCAUUCUUGUCUUACAUGAUAAUCUCCUAAGAUUUAUUCUUCAAACUGCGGCACAAAGUGAAGCUUCUAAUUUAUGGAAGGAGUUGUCUUCAGAGCUCUGCUUAAGAAGACCUCAACUAUGAAUAAUUUCCUUUGGUUUUAUAUAAUUUAGCUUACUUACCAUUUAGUAACUUUGGGAUGAAUAGUAAUUAGAAUCCAUACGCUUUGGGGUUAAGAAAUUAAAAUACAGAGUGAUGAAUUUAAUUAUCUCAUCAGUUGGCCUGAUUUAGGAUUUGCAGAUAAAAGUGCAGAGAUUACAAAGGAGUAAAAUCGUCUCUGCCAGUUAGCUUCUGUAAAGGACUGAAGAGGUACUGAAUGCAAUAGACUCCUAUUGUGCUGACUCUCAUAGAGAGUGGGGAGACGACAGGUAAGCAAGAGAACUGAUGUGCCCUUAUUAUCCUUUCAACAAUACGUUCAUUUGCCACUGCUUCCAACAGUGUCAACCCUGAGAGAGCUGUGGUGACAGUCUGUAAGACGCAGGGCCUGGCCUCAGAACCUGGAUAAUUGCUCUAGGGCUUCUACUUUCCUAUAGCUAGCUAAUCUGGCCUACAGAAGGGAGUGGCAAUGGCCGUUGGGAGCCCUGUGGGAACCAGAGUGAUGGUGUGGGUGCAGUGCCUCGGGAAAGUGAGAUAGCAUGUUGAUGACCAACCCCAGAACUUGGUUUCAGGAUAGAAAACUGUGUUUAAACUCUACAAGUACUGUUUGAGCUUCUCUGCACCUCAACCAGAGCCGGGCAAGAAAAUACAGCAUAAGAAUGAUUUCUCAAGAUACAGAGGGAAAGUGGAAAUUAAUAGUUGUUUCCAUAGUAUCCAUGGUGAAAACUAUUCCAUCUACAACAUCAACCAAUUCUAGCACAUUUCUGGGCUUUCUACAAGGACUGGGUAAAACCCAGGCAGUUUUGAAACAAUAUGCACCCAUUUUUAUAGUGCCUACCAUGAAUGGCCCAGUGGUUUAGGGGGAUAAUGAAUUCUGAAUGGAGUGUAAAAACCUGACUUCAAUGAUUAGGGAGAGACACUUUCUCUUCUACUGAACACACAAGAACAAGGGUGGAGUCCUAGUUGCUAUUGUCAGUCGCUUUGUUUUUAUAAGCUAAAUAAACUUUUAUUGAUGGCUGUCUACAGGAAGGGGGAAUAGAAAGAAUGAAAGAAAAUCAGUCCUUUGUUAUAAAGUUUAUUUUCUAGAUCAUUUAGCUGAAAGUCAGCCUAUACUUGUACUUAAUUGUUUGUGACAAUAAUUUUUGUCAUCUAAAUCACUAUGAGGUUUUGUUUCACUGGCACUGCACUGAAACAUGCUAAGGGAGCAACGAGGGAGACCAGAGCAGGACACUGGAUCUCCUAGAACUGGAGUUAUAUAUGGUUAUUAACCAGUAUAUAGGUCCUAAGAAUUGAACUCUGGUCCUCUGGAAGAAUAGCCAGUAAUCUUAAUGCUGAGCCGUCUCUCCAGGCCCCAACUGAUUUUUCUUUAAAGUACCUUUUAAUUGACUCUCAACCAAGUAAUAUCUGUUGCUAAAUAUAAAUGAGAAUUAAUUCAGCUUUUCAAAACUAAGUAAAACUGUCCUUCCUUCUCCGCCAUUUUCUUCAUACCAAAGUUUAGCACUAUUUUAACUGCACAAAACUUUCUCCCUGAGAGAAAAAAGGAAAGGAGGAAAAUGAUGCAUUUUAAUUUCAAAAAUAUGAUAAUGAUUUAAAACCUUAUCCUUGGUCCACAUUUUCAAAGUAAUGUAUUGUAGCUGUGUUUUUUUUUUUGAUGACUCUAGUAUCUAGCAUCUUUAAGCUAAAUUGUCUAGUUAAUUGCUUCCAGUUUCUCCUUGAUUUCCAGACUAAUGAUUGUUGUCUUUGGCCCAUGACUUUUAAUUCAGUUUAUACAAUAAAAAUGAAUCCUAACCACA